UACGGGGGGAGCAAGCGUUGUUCGGAUUUACUGGGCGUAAAGGGCGCGUAGGCGGCCACCGCAAGUCGAUUGUGAAAUCUCCGGGCUUAACCCGGAAAGGUCAACCGAUACUGCGGGGCUAGAGUGCAGAAGGGGCAACUGGAAUUCUCGGUGUAGCGGUGAAAUGCGUAGAUAUCGAGAGGAGCACCUGCGGCGAAGGCGGGUUGCUGGGCUGACACUGACGCUGAGGCGCGAAAGCUAGGGGAGCGAACGGG
rnacentral:rRNA from 1 species